GGGGAGCAAUGAUCUUCAUUUUGGUCCAGAUGAGGCCUGGGGUGACAUAAUCGUCAAUGUCUUACAGAUGUGGCCUGUGGAGAUCUGAUCAUGAUUGUGUUGCAGAUGAGGCCCAAGGAGACUUGAUUAUCUUUGUGUUAUAGAUUAGGCCUGGAGAUGAUCUUUGUUGUGUUAUAGAAGAAGCCUGGAUAUAUGAUCUUCCUUGUGUUACAGAAGAAGCCUGGAGAGAUGUGAUCAUGAUUGUGCUACAGCUGAGGCCUGGAGAGACAUGAUCAUCAUUGUGCUACAAAUGAGGCUUGUGGAAUUGAUGUGGUCCUCAUUAGAUUGCUGAUGAAACCUGGGGGAGACACGUUCAUCAUUGUAUUACAUAUGGCGCCUGUGGAGCCAUGACCACUAACGUGUUAUAGAUGAGUUUUGAGGAAACAUGAUUAUCACUGUUACAGAUGAGAAUGAGGGGGGAGGGCUGACUGAUCAUUGUGUUACAGAUGAGGCCUGAGGAGACAUGAUCAUCAUUGACAUACAAGGAGACCUGGGUGUCAUAAUCAUCAUUUUGUUACAGAUUAGGCCUGGGGAGGCUUGAUCAUCAUUGUGUUGCAGAGGAGGCCAAGGUUGAUCAUAAUUUUGUUAUAGAUGAAGCCUGGAGAAGAAGGAUCAUCAUUGUGAUACUGAUGAGGCUUUGAAAAACUUGAUCAUCAUUGUUUUGGAGAUGCAGCUUGGGAAGUCAUGAUCACCAGCAUGUUACAGAUGAUACCUGGCAAGAAAUCAUCAUCAUUGACUUAUAGAUGAGGCCUGGGGAGACAAAAUCAUCAAUGUGUUAAGAUGGGGCUUUGGUAUACAUGAUCCUUAUUGUGCUACAGAUAAGGUAUGAGGAGUCAUGAUCAUCAUUGUGUUUCACUGAGGCCUGGGAAGACAUGAUCAUCAUUGUGUUACAAAUGAGGCCUGGGGAUAUGUGAUUAUCACUGUCUUACACAUGAGGCCUGGUGGGAGAUAAUCAUCAAUGUGUUAGAGGUGGGGCCUGAGUAGACAUGAUAUCAUUUUGUUACAGAUAUGGCCUGGAGAAACAUGAUCAUCAUUGUUUUACAGGUGAGGUCUGUGAAACUUGAUCAUCAUUGUGUUACAGAUGAGGACUGGGGAGACAUGAUCAUCUUUGUUCUACAGCUGAGGCCUGUCUUAUUGAACCUGUUCAUGAACAGCCAAACAUUGCUUAUACUCUGCAGCUGUGGCGCAAAGAAAUCCACAUGCAAAACAACACAGGAGCUUAUGUUUGACAUCUUUAGUAAAUUUUUUUACAUUAAUACUGGGAAUGUUCUUCAAGGUCUCUUUUGAGUUUCAAGACACUUUGAGCAACAACAGGUCUCAUUAUUCAGGUCUGAGCACAGGGGAUUAAGGCUCCAGUACAUGGAUGUUUUCCAUUCAAACCAUAAUGAUUUCUCUAUUUUGGAGUGGAUGAACCAAAUAUAAAAAGAAAACAUUGCAUUUUGAAAUGACAAGAAUUCUAGUCAAAUUAUGCCAGUUAUUCAGCACCAUCACAGUGGCCAGAGGAAAAUGGAGAUGUGCCACCAUCUAUCAAAGCUUCUAGCUGAAGUUACAUAUCUCACCUCCAUUCCUAUUUCAAUAACCAAGUCAAGUCACAUGCCAGCCUGGUUUUAAAGGAUGAAAGGCACUCAGCCCUGCCAUGUUCUGGGAAGUACAAGACAUGUUUGUAAACCUCCACAGAUAACCUGGUGAUACAGAAUAUAGACCCAGAGAUCUGUAUAAGAACCCAAUGUCAUCCCUCCACUAGAUAAGCCAGAAAUUCACCAGUAUGGAUCAGCCUUGGAUGAUUUCUCUGGACUGUUCCACUUCCACAGUAGUUCUACCUCUUUACUAAGGCAAGGUGAACCUUGAGACUAAGGAAGAUGCUGGUGCACAGAAGUAUCAUCAAACCCACAAACUCAAUUCAUCCAAAGAUAAUUUGAAAUUUGAACAAUAUGCCUGAAUUGAGUUGUACAUUUUUUAUUUCUUUACAGAGAAUGAGAAUGAGAGAGAGGAGAAAGAAUUGGUGCACCAGGACCUCAGCCACUGUAAUUGAACUUCAGAUGCUUGUACUACCUAGUACAUGUACCUAGGGCAUGUGCAACUCUAUGCUUGCCUCACCUUUGUGCAUCUGGCUUAUGUGGGAUCUGGAGAGUCAAACAUAGGUGGCACCUGGGGGCAAGAGGAGCCUCUGUGAAGUCCACACCAUCAGUCACAGGCAGGAACGUGUGAUCCAAUUUUGUAACGCAGUGUCAUUGGAGCUGAAACUUCAGAUGAUUUUUUCCCCCAAAAUCUGCCAUCCUGGAUGGAGACCGGAUAACAAGGUUCACUUUAAAUUGCAAUGAACAUUAUACCAAGUGAAUGACACAGGUAGUCUCUUGGAGUAGCCCAUCCCAAAAGUUUAUCAUAAAGGUUACUGUUCUCAGUAUCUCUAUGACAAGUAGAGUUUUGUGUAAAACAAAACAAAACAAAACAAAAACAGAUGCACAAGUUGGUGCAUGAAUCUGGAGUUCAUUUGCUAUGCCUGAGGCCCUGGU